ensembl:lncRNA
UGACCAGGCCCAAGAACGUAAAGUUUGCUUUCUGCCUUCAAGUCCUGGGUGCCUUUCGGUGUUUCCCGUUUGCCAUUACACUCUGGCCUCCACGACACAGCGGGACUGCUCUCCUGUGCUCCUAGCCCACCGGGGGUCUAGUGAGGACCUAGGGAGGGACUGGGACUCGGUCUGGCCUCCCGAGUGGGAGUGCUCGGACGGGGACGUCACACCUCACUGUGAGCCUCCUCGGGGGUAAGGGAUGGGGAGAGACGAUGUGGCUCUGCGGCAGGGCGCUCGCGCAUUCAACCCCUCAGUCUGUCCUGGGGGCAUCGCGCGCACUUCACAGAGAACGCUGGCUGCUCCCCCUUCCGGAUCUUGGUUCCGAGGCCAUCAGUCAGCGCUGUUCACAGCGGACCGCAAAGACUGAGGUGACCGAAGAAGAAAACACGCUGUGGAAAGGACUGGCUUCCUUGGAGGGACCUGGGAACAUGUACAAUAGUUAAAAAGCAAAUGAUUUUUAGAACUUGCCUUAGCUGCUGCAUGGUGAAGACUGGUUCUACAGUCACCUCAGAACUUGGCUCUACCGCUUGCUGUGCAACCCCGGGAGCAUUAACCUUUGCUGCAGUUUCAUCAUUAGUGAAAUGGGGAUAACAGUAGUCCUAACCUUGUGAACUUGUUGCAGGAAAGUUACAGAAGUUUCACACGUAGAGCAAACUUAGAAAAGCUUCCACCAGGUGUGGUGGCCCAUGUAUAAUUUCAACACUCUAGGAGGCUGAGGCAGGAUUGCAGGUUUGAUCCCAGCUGAGGCAACUUGGUGACUUAGUCCCUAUCUCAAAAAAAGGUGUUGGAUGUAGCUCAUUGUGCAGCCCCUGAGUUCAGUCUCCCCAGUACCACCAAAUAAAAACAGUCCCCAGCACAUGGUGAGUGCUUUCCUUUUAGCUACUAUCGUGUUACAGGAAGUAUGUUUUAUGGCCUAAGACAUUUAACACUGUUGCCCUCUUUUGAGCUCUGAAUGAUCUUCCUGUUUGUGAAGCCCAUUACUGUUGGUGCUGCAGGGCCUCUGGUCAGUACUCAUGCACAGCAGGUUUUGCCUGCAGGCUUCUUUGAAGUUAGUACUAUCUCCCUGAAUUCCUUGGCUAGGGCAACCAUUGUUCUUCCCUGUUACCUGUGAGAGGCAUAAGGAAUCUUCCAAUCUAGAUAAUCAGCAUUGCAGUAGGCACUCUGGUGUUUAGGGAGUUAAUCUCAUCAUCUUUAAAAUAUGUUUGUAAAGGUGAAUGAUAAACCAUAAUCUCCUACUUGGGAGGCUGAGGCAUGAGGAUCAUUGAUUUCAAGACUAACAGGGGGCUCACCUGGAAAUUGAGUGAUAGUCUCCUUCAAAAUAAAAAGUGUUGGAGGUGUGGCUCAACAGUAGAGCACUUGCCUAGCACACCAGAUGCCCUGGGUUCAAUGCCCUGUGCUACAAAAAAGAAGAGAAUGGUUAACUAAAGCGCUUUUUGUCUAAGCAGGCCUCCCUCCCAGCCUUCAGGGGCUUGCUUCAUUACUGGAAACAGACCUGGACAGCAUUCAGUUUGAGAUAAAAGAACAAUACACUGGUCCUGGGUGUAGAAAUGCAAGUUUACUUCGAAAGAAGUAAUCUUGUGGACCUGGAAGAACUUUAAGGGUUUUGUCUGGGGGCAGCUAUGUAGUCUUAAUUCCUUGCUGCUGUGAAUGCACUUAUAUGUGAAAAACAAGGUGGUUGCCAGCCUGAGGAGCUAAAUAUCUCCAGUGAGGUGGAAACUGUUUUCUGUUCAUGGUUCUGUAAAUAGUUCUAAAGGUUUAAUGACAAUGACUUGAGAUUCUCCUGAGAUGUAUCAAAUUACAAGGCUUAAUUUGUAAAGUCUAGUGAUUAUAAAGUAGUAGUGUCAAAAUUUAAUUGCACAGUUACAUUUCUUUUUUUGUUUUGUUUUGUUCUUUUUGAGUCAGGAUCUUGCUAUGUAGUUCUCACUGGUCUUGAACUCACUGUGUAGACCAGGCUGGCCUCAAAGUCCCAGCAAUCUCUCUGCCUUAGCCUCCCAAGUACUGGAAUUACAAGCAUGGGACACUACCCCCGAGCUGUUUGCCUUUUCUAACCAAAAAAGAACCUUCUCUGAGCAGAUGGAUCUCCUGAAGUAUGGUGCUGGCAGUCUGGUUGCAUCUGAACUGUGAGCGGCUGGACUAUUGUCCCCAUCAUCGAACUCUCAGCACGCAGAGCAGCAAUUCAGUCUCCUACAAGUAGGGUACACGUACACUGGAAAGAGCAUAACCUAGAUUAUGUACUGAAAUUUUCACUUUACUACAAAGAGUAAUAAGCCAAAGAAGGUUAUUGUUAUAACAAUCUUGGCUUGGAAUACACCAAUGUGGUGAGAGGGUUACCUAACUGUAUUCUAGAAGACCUAGGUUCUUGGGAGAAACAUAAUCGCAUUUCACAUCCAAAGAAGCCAGCAGUAACUAGUGCCACAACCACGCAGAAGUCUGUACCAGUGACAUAGCUUAUUUCCAGGGGAAGUGCAACUCUUAACAAUUCCUCCGAGGCCACAUGGAGACCAGGUUUUAAAGUAGCAGGAUUGGGCAACAGAUGGAUUUCUAUUUAAUGGUACUGAAUACAAAUGUGUAAAGUUACGCCCACCAUUUUAUAUGGUAAAGGACCAGACACAGAGCAUGUUGCCUUGAAUGAACACAUCUUGCGUAAUGUGCGUAUACUAACCCUGUGUGCUUUGAUGUCCAUAUAUUAUCAUUUAGACAAAUCUUAGGCUCACAGCACAUUCACUCUUAGAUUGACACAUACAUAAAAGUGGUUCAUCAAGCCAGAGUGUAAACAUACCCUGGAUAAAAAGACUUUACAAAGCUAACCGAAAUUUAAACACUGCCUCUGUUACGACAGUUUCUUAAGUCAGUAGGCCAACACAAAAACACAAGAAAUAAUCUCAAUAAAACACAGGAGGUUGGAUGUGGUACCUCAUGUAUUGAGGAGGCUGAGGCAAGAGGAUUGCUGUGAAUUUAAAGCCAGCCUGAACUACAUAGCGAGACCCUGUUUCAAAAAAUGUAUACAACCCUUGUUCUUUACGUCAGUUUUAUAAAUGUAAUUAUGAGCUGUCCUGUGUUUUAAGAAAACCUUGUUACUUUAGAGAAUUAGAUUUUCCUUCCAUAUCAACGUGAUACAUUUUCUUUUGAAAAGCACUUAAAAGAGCCUUUUUAAUUAUGAGCAGUUCAGUCCCACAAACAAGAAUUUUAACAGUUGUGUUUUAGAAUCCCUUUACAACCUGUUCAGGUACUUUACUGGUUUUAAAAAUUUAGUCAUUUAUUUUAUUUAUUCUCUUUUCAGUUUGUGGCUCAGAAUGGCUUUAAAGUCACUAUGUAGCCCCUCCAAUUCGUGGCAAUCCUCCAGCCUCAGGCUCCCAAGUGCUGGGAUUGUAGGUGUGGACCACCUUGCCCGGACAAUCUAGAACAAAAGAAAAAAUGUUUGCCAUCCCAAGUCCUUUUGCAUCCAAGAUGUUUAUCUAAAAGUGAAAGUAGGGGAGAGAAAGGGAAGGGUAGAGUAAUGCUUUUCCAGUCCCAAGAGACUGUAGCUAGGAGCUGAAGGAGUCCCCAGGGGCAAACCUCCCUUUCAUUGCAUAUAAAAUUCUAUGCCAGAAUAGUAAUGCUGAGCAUCUUUAGUGAUGACCCAGGAAGAGAGCAAUUUUAAACCGUUUACAUAGAUUGAGAUUUAAGAGAAAUUCCAUACACCAGGAUAUAUUGUCUUUGUAUUUACUUUAAGAACCUAUGAAUACUUGACUUUGUUUUAACUGAUUACUCAAAUGAUUUAAUAAACAUUUACAAGCAUUUCUCACAUGUAGAUGUAUUUUAUCAAUGCUCACAACUAUUUUAGCUUAUCCAUUAUAAGAGAGGUAUUUGACCAUCGUAGUGAACGUUAGCCCUGUUUAGCGUGUGUUUCCAUGGCUUUAUAUCUUUAAGAAGUCACCUGAGCCAGCACCUCCGUCCUCUUUCUCGUCUUGGCUAAGCUGGAGCAGACUAUGUGCUCCUGUGUGCUAAAUAUUUGUGGCAGGAAGAAGAGGGAGGAAAGGAAAGGACAUUCAGAUGGAGCAGAGGAACACAUUUGAAGAUUCCUGUGCUUGUCCAUGUGAACUCUGGAGGAGACAGGCUUGUGGUGAAGCUGGAGAGUGGGGACUGGGGGAACCUAUGGGAGAGUGACUGAUCCAGGGACCUGGGAGGGAGCUGAUAGCAGUGAGAGUAGGAGCCAGAGAGGAACUACAGCCUUUCUCAAAGAAGCCACCCUCUAGAGAUAAUUGUAGUGACAGUUUGUGUAUAAGUUUCAGAAAGCAGAGUGCAGUGGGACCUGAUUAAAUCAAGAUCUGCUCAGAUGGUUAGCUGUUCAUAACCAUGGAUUGCUUCAGUGUGGAAAUUCAGAUUGACUUCAGUGAGGGUGACAAAUUGUUUUAUAUGGCCCUUGAGUCAGGUCCCCAGGCAGAUCCUUAGGAUAGCGAUGAAUGGCACCAACAACACUGCUGUUGAACUAGUGGGUGCACUACCUCGUGUGUUCUCCCAGUAGCCUGUGCAGUGUGCAUUACUAACUCUCCCAUCUUGAGAAUCAGGAAAGCAAGGUUAGAGUGGUGAGAUGAUUCCCAGCCUUCACAUUCCUCCCAAAUGGACCACUUUUUAUACCCAACACACUCAUACCCAGCAGCAUGCUGGAACAGGUGAGAAAGCCUGCAUCCUGGAGCCAGUGUUGUCCUUCAGGAACAGGAAAAGGAGUGUCUGGCUUUGGGAACACAGGAACUAAAGUGGGCUCCUGAGGGACCCGCCCCGCUGGCCAGUGCUCAGGUCCCGAGCUCAGUUCCACACCUUCCCGCCUUGGUUGGAUCUGGUGGGUUCAGUGGUAUCUUCUGGAUGUGGGAGGUGAGGUCCGACAAGAUAGAUCCACGUCCAUAACAUAGGGUAAAAUGCAGUGAGAACGGGGAGAGGGAAAAAGAAUGCCUCCCGUUUGGGACGCUUCACACUGCCUAACAUUUCCUGAGAGGGAAUCGAGGUCCUCUGGGCCACUUGCAUACUCUGAGCCUGAGUGAAGACGACUUGCUGGAAGAGCCAGACACAGAUGACAAGAACAUGUGCUUUAUUGAGAAAUAUCAACUAUGUGUAUUUGGGAUGAUGGGGUAGCACAUAGUGGGGGGAAAUAUGGGGAUGUGGGGUGGUCCUAACUGCUCAAGGGGUCCUUCAGGCUGGAUCCAUUUGCCUCUAAGACAUCAACUUCUCUUUGGAGCCUGCUGAGGGCGGCUCUUGGUGUCCUGCUUAGGAUCCUGUCUUCUACAUCUCUUAGAAAGGACUCUCGAGCAGCCGGUGGAAGGCCUGCCCCAUGAGCAAACAGGUUCUCUGUGGUCUGGGGGCGUCAUCCUCUGGGUGUGCUGAGGAGGUGGAGGGCUCUGUGAUCCCUGACUUGUGGCUGCUGCUCCCCUCGACUGCCGUCUGCAGAGAAGGGGAGAAUGAGUUAGAUACACGUAAUAUCAAUACAAUGGAGUCAAUAUUUACUCCUUUAUGGAAUUCACAUCCUUUUAUCAGAAAGGCGACUUCAGUGCGGUCUCAGUAAUCAGAAAUACUGAAAAUAUUCACACACACAAUUUUUGGCAUCACAAUAGUGCUUCCCUUUGUUCCCCCCCCCCCCCCGUGCCCCUUGGUAUUUCCCUGCCUCUCCUCCCUGAGUCCUUUCCUUGCUGUCUUAGCCUCUUGCUAGUCUUGUGCAUCCCCCAGGAUCCAGCCCCACUUCACAGCAGGUCACUCCCAGCCCCGUGCUGUUCACCUGCUCCCCACUGGGCCUGGCCCUUGCUCUCUGGGAGGCAGCUCUGUUCACCUCGGCACGUUCCUGUCCCUUCAGUGUCACAGGCAGCUUUGGGACUGGGAUGACAUCUGUGUUUCCUGAUGGUUUGCACAUGGGCGAGUCUAGACAUGCCUCAUGUCCCUAAUGAGUGAGCUGGGCAGGGGAACAGCUGCUCAGCCUGAGGUCUUUGGCCAGAGUAAGUUUGAGGCAAUCCUGGUCCUCAUCUUUCUUCUUCUUCCGAAUUUUUUGGGGAUUUUCAUUGUCUUCCUUUUGGAUUUCUUCAUCAUCCAUGUAAAAGCCCUGAAAUGUCUUCAGCAGUUUCACAAGACCAUCCAGUUUUCCUUCAGUACAUUUUGUUUCAUCUUUGCCUCUGUAGAUUUUCAUGAGCAGCUGAUUCUUCAAAGCCAUUGUCGUCAGCCCAGGGCACAGUGAUACCUAGGUUGUAGAUCUGCUGUGGGUCAUCCUGAAGUAGCUUUCAUAGGUUGGGCCAUCUCUUGUUCCCUUCAGGCCCCCACCUGCCUUGGAUAGCAGAGAUGAGGUCACCUGAAGAACACACACUGGGAGUCGUGUCUUCAGGAAGGAUGAUGUCCUCACAGGACGAGGGCUCUUCACUGGGGAGACAGCCCCCAGAGAGGCUCAGCAUGCAUUUGGUUUCAGAAUUGCAGUCCUCUGUGUCAGAGGGGUCACUGCUAGGGGAUGAGGAUGCCAUGGGAUUGAAGAACCAAUAUGAGAGUCUCCGUCAACACCGGAAGCUUCCAAAGGGGAAAAAAAUGGGAGAUAUUGGGGAGAAAAUUCACUGCCAACUCCUGGAGCAUAAACAGGAGAUGUGAGAGAGUCUUUAGCACUCAAAUCUCUGUGGCUAAUGGUGAGGUAGGUCAUAAUCCAUCUUCUGUGACUGCUGGUUACCAUGGCAAUAUCCAAACCAGUCUAGCCAGACAGUAGGACUAGAGAGAAAAGGGAUAAGAAACCACAGAAUCUAUCCCCUUCCUUCUGAAACAUUGUGACUACACACCAUGCAGGCUGAAGGGUCCCUCUUGAGGCCAGAAAGAGCAGUGCUACAGGGUGGGGUUUACUUUCCUCUUUCCUUGAGGCAUCAGAGAUCAUUCCUAUUCUCAAGGAAUGGAGACUUUGGGGGGGAGACCAGCAUAAACAGCCUAGGACACAGUCAAAGACAGGGUGGUAAGUGCCACAGAAGAACUCAAAAUUGGGUCCUGAGUGGAUGUACCUGAGUUCGGCUCUUACCUUGGAUGCUCGAGGCUCUAGGUUUGAUCCCAGCACUGCAGUUGAAAAAGAAUUGAUCCUCAUUGGGAAAUUUCAGUCCUUUUUGGCCAAACUGCAGUCCUUUUAGUUCUGAUUUCCUCCCCCCCUCCAUUGGGCUGACCUGGCAUCUCCAGAUGUGUGGCCAGUCUACUUCAGGUUGCCCAGAGCUUAGCUCUAGACUGGUAACUUGCAGUGGGUCUUGUGCUCACAGCUGAGCUAGUAGUAACAAGGAGAUGGGUUUUAGGGACAGUUCCAACUAAUUUGUAUAGUUCUUAUUCAUACACAGUGUAUGAUUCAUUUGUUUGUAGUGUGUUCACACUGGUACAAUUAUCACUAUAUUAGGAACAUUUUCUCAACCCUAAAGAAAAUCUCCAUACUUUGUAGUAAUAACAACUCCCCAUUCAUUCCCAACCCACCCAUCCUUAGGCAACUAUAAAUCUAUCUAGUUUCUGCCUCUGGAGCUUGGCUUUUUGUGAACAUUUCAUGCAGUUUAGGGUAUUUGGACCUAAUAUGAUGCUUUUCAGGCUUGUUUAUAUGAAAGCAUGUAUACACUAAUCUUUUCAUUGCCGAGUUAUAUUCCACUGCAUGGAUAAGCCAUGUUUUGUGUUUGCUUUCACGAUGUAACAGGUACUUGGGUUGUUUUGUAUCUUGUGUCAUUAUGAGUGAUGCUGUUGCCAUCAGUUAAGGGGCAAUGAAUUUGUAGUUCCCUUAGAUAAAAAUCUACAAGUUAAUUUCAUAAUGGUUGUGUUUUUAACCUUUGAAUGAGCCACCAGAUUGUUAGUCUAAAGAUGUCCCAUUUUAGUGUCUGAGUAUUUAGUUCAUUCACAUCUGUACCUGCAGUUAUUCUUAUUUUACCAAUUGUCCUGAGCCUGGAGUGAUGGCUCAUUUUGGUUGUGCUUUUUAUCUUUCUUGUGGUCAGCAUCAUUUGGUGUGCAUGUUGGCCAUCCAUGUUGGUAAAGAAGGCUCGUUUCCCUUGUGAGCAGUUCCCCUUCAACCUUCCCCUUCCCUGUGGUUGCCCUGGUAAAUCUGUUUCUAUAGUAUAGAUAAUGACAUCACCAUAUCCUGUUUUUACAAAAGUCUGUUUCCUCUUCCUCAAAUGAAACCACCCGAUGUGCAGAGUUGCAAACUCUCACUGUGUAAAAUUAAACAUCUUUGUUCUGCUUUUGUAGCCUUGUUUCCGCAUGUAACAGUAUAAAAGAACUGUAUAGCUCCCAGUCAGUGCUCAGUUUGGAGUACAUAACACCUCUGGGUCGGCCAGCGAAACAAAGCUGUUUCCCUCCCCGUCUCUUGAGUGCCACUCAGUUUCUUCGCCUCCAGUAAACCUAAAAUUGCUGUAACAGUGUCUCUAGAGAAGCUCUGUGGGCUGCAUCAAGGCCUC